GCUUUCAACUGCCUGAAGGUUAUGCCACGGCAGCCAUUUUGGACAUAUAUGUGGAUGUGGUGUGGAUAUUCCCCCUCAGCGAUCAGAUUGUUUUGUGAUAGUAUUUUGAAGUUUUCUGAUUACAGACAACGUGCACACAUCGAAAAUGCAGUCGAAACAAAUUCACCGGAAUUUAACGCAAGUGAAAUUGGAGAAUAUUUCUCCGGUAAAAAGAGAUUAUACGGCGGAUCUGGAAGGAAUCCUGACUGGUGAAGAAGGUGAAGCCCUGAUAGUGGAUAUUAAAAAUUUUCGUAGGCCGGGAGAGAAGACCUACACGCAAAGAUGCAGGCUCUUCGUUGGUAAUUUGCAUAUAACGGAAGAAGAUUUCAAGAAAUUGUUCCGAAAGUAUGGGGAGGCUUCAGAGGUUUUUAUCAACCAGGACCGCGGGUUUGGUUUCAUUCGUUUGGAAACCAGGACAUUGGCUGAAAUAGCAAAGGCUGAACUUGAUGGUACAAUGCUGUUGAAUCGACCUCUACGUAUUCGCUUUGCUACUCAUGGAGCUGCCUUGACCGUGCGGAAUCUUUCUUCAGUUGUUUCUAAUGAGUUGCUGGAACAGGCCUUUUCUCAGUUUGGACCAGUAGAAAGAGCAAUAGUUAUUGUUGAUGAUCGUGGGAAGCCUACAGGGAAAGGUUAUGUGGAAUUUGCAGCAAAGCCUGCAGCUCGCAAAGCAUUGGAAAGAUGUGCAGAUGGAGCAUUUUUAUUGACAUCUUCUCCACAUCCUGUUAUUGUGGAACCCACAGAACAGUUUGAUGAUGAAGAUGGACUUCCUGAGAAACAGCUGCAAAAGAACACGCAAUACCACAAGGAAAGGGAGCAGCCGCCACGUUUUGCUCAGCCUGGGACAUUUGAGUUUGAAUAUGCAUCUCGGUGGAAAGCUCUUGAUGAAAUGGAAAAACAACAACGAGAGCAAGUUGAUAGAAACAUCAGAGAGGCAAAACAAAAGCUGGAGGCAGAAAUGGAAGCAGCUCGUCAUGAGCAUCAGCUUAUGCUUAUGAGACAAGAUUUGAUGAGACGCCAGGAGGAACUGAGGCGUUUAGAAGAAAUGAGAAAUCAAGAGCUGCAUAAAAGAAAGCAGAUAGAAAUGAGGCAUGAAGAGGAACGUAGGCGACGAGAGGAGGAAAUGAUGCGUCAGGAGGAAUUACGAAGGCAACAAGAAGGAUAUAAGUACAUGGAUAAUAGAGAACAGGAUAUGAGGAUGGGUGAUAUGGGUCCACGUGGAGGAAUUGGCAUGGGAGAUGCGUAUAGCCCAGCUCCUGCUGGCGCCCAAGGCCCUGCUCCACUUAUGGGUGUGAACAUGAACAACCGUGGACCUUUGCUUGGUGCAACAAUGGGACCUGUCCCAGCCAUUAGCCCAGAGGGAACUGCAAAUCUGGGAGCACCUAUGUUGGGAGACAACAGUGGAACAAUGAUGUGAUGAAAGGACAAUGGCAUGAAAUAUUGAAAUCCUCCUUUGAUGAGUUAAAGUUUGUGAUGCAACGUAAAUGCAGUUCAGCACUCAGGAAGGGCUGGGUGGAAUGCAUUGCCGUGCCCCGUGAUUCUUCUGAAUGUGUUACCAGCAAUUGCUACAUUGAAAGAAGCACAGGAAAUGGAGCCCUUGUCAAUUUGAAGGGAGCCCAGUGCAUUUAAAAGGAGCGUGGGAAAGUGCCCCAGCAAGUUGAAAAGCUGUGUGGGAAAGACUCAGUGAAUUUCAAUAAGCAAGUGGUUUGAAGAAAGAGUGUAUUAAAAUUUCCAUCAGGGAUGGGGUAGUUAACCCCACGCCCAACCCCCAACCUGGAGGACCAGGGACUGCUUAGUCUGCCCCCUCACCCGAGACCUGUCCAGUUCGGUUGAACCUGCCAGGGAUAUGAAACCCCAUCCGACAUAGCUCUCAGGAUCACUGGAGUACACAAGCCUCUCCUCCACGUCGAGGUUUCAAUCCAGGAGAGGGAAUAGGAAACUGGACCAACUUAAUCUAUUGUGUUUUAAUAUUGUCAAAUACCUACCUUUCAAAUCUGAGGCAAAAGUACGCACUUCCUGUCCAUUAAUGUUUUAUAACUCUCCUUGGCUUCUGCAUCAAAGUUACUAGGCAGGCGGAAUCUUCCACUACUCCCAGUGCACCUGUUUAUGGAAAUUUAGUACUAAAAUCUGAGUUAUGCUAUCUAAUGUCAUCAUGGCCAUUUAUUCCCCCACUUUGGAACCCCAGUCUGUCCAGAGAUCAUUGCAAAAAGCUCAUUAAUUUUCCAAAUUAUUUCCAUGAAAGGCUGGCAUUAAUAAAACCUAUGCUUUUUUGUAUUAUGGUUAAUUAUAAUUCCCUCUACAUACACAUUUUGAAUUUAAAUUAUGCAUGAUCAUGUCCUGUUAGAUCUUGUUUUGUCUCAACUAAACUCAAUCUUAUCUAUACACGUUUACCAACACACCCUCCCUUAAGUAAUAUGUCCAUCGAUGCCCACUAAUUUAAAUUGUUUACUUUUGCCUGUUUGUGCAUUUACACUGUGUGAAAUAAAAUACAAUACACUUAUUUUCUCCCUCCCCCAGCCUAAAAACAUUAAUUUUGCAUUCUAACUUCAUCUUCAAUUACACUUAUCACACUAUCAACCAUCUUUUAAACCUACAUAUAAAUUCACUGUAUUUUCUUUGGAAAUCUCAGACUAAAUUGUGACUGGUUGUUGCCACCAUUUAUAUUUUGUAGGAAGGGGCUGGAUGUAUUCUUCUUCCAAUUUUCCUGCAAAUUUUAAUCUUUCCGACCAUAUUGGGCUAGCUACUUUUCCCAGCUGCCUUCAACCCAAGUUCUCUUUACCUUUCAUGCAGGGCUUUUGUCAACGUUGCUACAUAUUUUUAAAGCACCUACUGCACGCAUUCAUUAAACUUUUGGGUGUGGUUGUGGGUAAAGUGUGCCUUGGCAAACAGCCUUUGAUAGAGUUCCAAGUCAGAAAAAACAUGGUUUGAGGUUUUUGCAUUCCUUAUCCAUUACUUGGCAAUAUAGAGUAUGAACCUGGAGAACUGUUAAUAAAAACAUAGAAAGCAACAUGCCUUGCAUGCUUAAUGCUUUGAUAUUUGUUUUGUUCUUUCUGGAAUACAACACAGCCUCUAAACACAUUACAUACCUCAAUAGCUCUCGCUGGUGAAUGAAUGUAUUACUUUUUUUUCAAAUCAAACGUGUCUGUUUAAGAAUUCAAAACUAUCUUAACUGGAGCUAUGUAUGUAGAGUGAUUUCUAAUAAACUUUCUUGAAUUGAUUCCCAGUGAUUCUUAUUUUAAGGUCAAUAGCACUAAGUAAGCAAUUUGAGGAGGAGAAAAAUAAUUAUACCAAUUAAUCUGGUGAAAUAAAUCUUGUUUCUUUUUUAAACUGGAUUUACAGCAGCCUCAGUUCACUCCAAUCAUGCUUCUUCCUUUAUUGACAAGCCUAUUGAUUAUAAUCAUUAAUUUCCAAAUGGGUUGGGUGUAGAAUAGGGAAACAUGCAUGUUAUGUGAUUGUAGCUAACUAAUAUGACUCACCAUAUCUCCCUGUUGCUCCUGAACGGUUUAGGGUUAUAAAAUCUGAAGAAGGUUCUCCACCCGAAAUGUCACCCAUUCCUUCUCUCCAGAGAUGCUGCCUGACCCGCUGAGUUAUUCCAGCAUUUUGUGUCUACCUAGAGUUAUAAUGAUCUGCCCUUUGCUUUCAAGAAAUGUGGACACUUUUGCACUCAACUAAUGACAACCGAUGAACCAAAAUGUUAUUGUUAAAUAUUAGAAAUUAUAUUUUACAUAAAAUUUACAAAAUAACUGAAAUUAGCUUUUACAUGGUGGGAUAGAACAGCUUUUGUUUAUCACAUUCCUUAAAUCAGCAUUUUCAGUAGUAUUCGCAACAGUUUAGGCACAUACUGGUAAGUGUACAGUUUAACUAGGAGGAAAACUAAGGCACAUGGAAAUGUGUAAUGUAAGGUAUGUUCACAUUUCUUUAAGUACUGCAGUAAAUACUAGUGCAUACUUGUUUAAAAAAAAUAAACAAACUCAAGAACCAUCAAUAGCUUUUUAUAAAAGGCUAUUCUAUCAUGCCAUCAUGAGCUCUACAGCACUUGUUUAAAAAUAAUAAAAUCGGAGUACAAACAGCUCUUAAAUGGAUAGUGGUUCCUAAAUACUUGCUGCAUCAAAAGAUCACUACUAAAUUCACAU